CCUGAACGCUGGCGGCGUGGCUAAGACAUGCAAGUCGCACGGAGGUAGCAAUACCUUAGUGGCGAACGGGUGAGUAAUGAAUCGCUAAUGUGCCCCGGACUCUGGGAUAGCUGCCCGAAAGGGCAGGUAAUACCAGAUGAUAUAACCGAACCGCAUGGUUUGGUUCUCAAAGGUCCGCCGGUCUGGGAGCAGGCGAUUUCGUAUCAGCUAGUUGGUGAGGUAACGGCNCACCAAGGCGACGACGCGUAGCCGGACUGAGAGGUUGGCCGGCCACAUUGGGACUGAGACACUGCCCAGACUCCUACGGGGGGCUGCAGUAACGAAUCUUCCGCAAUGCACGAAAGUGUGACGGAGCGACGCCGCGUGU
rnacentral:rRNA from 1 species